rnacentral:rRNA from 1 species
GACGAACGCUGGCGGCGUGCUUAACACAUGCAAGUCGAACGGAAAGGCCCCUUUGGGGGUACUCGAGUGGCGAACGGGUGAGUAACACGUGAGUAACCUGCCCUUGACUUCGGGAUAACUUCAGGAAACUGGGGCUAAUACCGGAUAGGAAUCCUUGCUGCAUGGUGGGGGUUGGAAAGCUUCGGCGGUUUUGGAUGGACUCGCGGCUUAUCAGCUUGUUGGUGGGGUAGUGGCUUACCAAGGCUUUGACGGGUAGCCGGCCUGAGAGGGCGACCGGCCACAUUGGGACUGAGAUACGGCCCAGACUCCUACGGGAGGCAGCAGUGGGGAAUAUUGCGCAAUGGGCGGAAGCCUGAUGCAGCAACGCCGCGUGCGGGAUGACGGCCUUCGGGUUGUAAACCGCUUUCAGCAGGGGCGAAGCUUGUGGUGACGGUACCUGCAGAAGAAGCACCGGCUAACUACGUG